UUGACUGGGUCUGAGAAGACCCGGGGCCCUUAAUUCUAUAGAGGGGUCUGAUCUCUGGGUGCUCACCGUCCUGUCUCCAGAGUCACUCUGUACAUCCUCGGUCUCCCACGAAGGGACCCUUCUGUGUCUGGCAGUCGCUUCUGGGGAAGAGAAGAGGGAGGUCAUUUGUGAGCAGAGAGGCAGGGAAGGUGAAGACCUCCUUGAUCCUCUUCUGAGAGAGUGAAUUAUGGAUCCUUUUAGUCUGAGGGAUGUCUGGUGAGAGAAUGAAGUGAUUUGCAAACUGCUUUGAGAUUACAGCCUAGGGUGUGGAGAGCUGAAACUGUAGGCAUUCUACUAGAAACUGACUUUUCAACAUAGAGAAGCGUGGGGUAUCUUGGGAGUCAGGAAUAUCCAUUCUACAGGUCUGAUCAUUUUGGGGUAGGGAUCUCUGUGGGAGCGGGAGAGAGGAGUGCAAUGCAAGUGUAGGGUAGAGGAUAGUGAAAAGUUCUCUUAUUGGAACUGCUUUGCAGAUGAGUAGCUUCCACAGAAGGGACUUGUCCCUAUCUGUAAGUUUGCUCUCAGGGGAUUGAGAGGUCAGUGUCAAGAUGACGACUGUGUGUGUCUCCACCCCAUUUUUCUCUGAAGUUGUGUAGUCUCCUAUCUGAGUGAUAUAGGGAAUAUGUCCUGAAGGCCUUCCAAACCUCUGUUCAGUCAGCAGUUGCUUCGGAGACCUUGGUCUCUGCCUUCCAGUCUUCCCUAGUUCAGGUGUGUGGAGACCCAUCGGCUGAGGUAGGGAAGAGCAGAGAAGUCAGGAUGUCUGUAGGUGUCCCUUUGUGUGUUGGGAAUAAUUGAUUGAGGGCCGGUGGUGCAAAGUGUCUGAGAGAAAUUGCAUCGUUUGUCUCUCCUCCAACUUCUUUUUCAGCCCCCAGGAGCAGCAUCAGCCCUUCUCCACUCUGGCUGUCACACCAUGGGUUGCUGCCGAGGUGGCCUAAUCUGGAGCAUGUACCACCUCAUAGCAGCCCCAGGAACAACAUCAGAUCUUCUCCAUUCCUACUCUUUGUGGCACGAAGCGCUGUUGGGGACCCUCUGGGCACGAGGACCACCGUGACCAUCUCACGGCAGGAGCACCAUCUGAUCUUCUCCACUCCUGCUGUCACGCCAUGGAGUGAUGCUGAGGGGGCCAUCCGGACCCCAGGACCCCUCGAACUUCUCAGCAGGU
rnacentral:lncRNA from 1 species